UACGUAGGGAGCAAGCGUUGUCCGGAAUCAUUGGGCGUAAAGCGCGCGUAGGUGGCUCCAUAAGUCCGUUGUGAAAGUCAAAGGCUCAACCUUUGAAAGCCGAUGGAUACUGUGGAGCUAGAGUACGGAAGAGGCGAGUGGAAUUCCUGGUGUAGAGGUGAAAUUCGUAGAUAUCGGGAGGAACACCGGUGGCGAAGGCGGCGAUCUGGGUCGAUACUGACGCUGAGGUGCGAAAGCGUGGGGAGCAAACAGG
rnacentral:rRNA from 1 species